rnacentral:rRNA from 1 species
UUUAUUGGAGAGUUUGAUCCUGGCUCAGGAUGAACGCUGGCGGCGUGCCUAAUACAUGCAAGUCGAGCGAAUGGAUUGAGAGCUUGCUCUCAAGAAGUUAGCGGCGGACGGGUGAGUAACACGUGGGUAACCUGCCCAUAAGACUGGGAUAACUCCGGGAAACCGGGGCUAAUACCGGAUAACAUUUUGAACCGCAUGGUUCGAAAUUGAAAGGCGGCUUCGGCUGUCACUUAUGGAUGGACCCGCGUCGCAUUAGCUAGUUGGUGAGGUAACGGCUCACCAAGGCAACGAUGCGUAGCCGACCUGAGAGGGUGAUCGGCCACACUGGGACUGAGACACGGCCCAGACUCCUACGGGAGGCAGCAGUAGGGAAUCUUCCGCAAUGGACGAAAGUCUGACGGAGCAA